GGAAUCUUCGGCAAUGGACGAAAGUCUGACCGAGCAACGCCGCGUGAGUGAAGAAGGUUUUCGGAUCGUAAAACUCUGUUGGUAGAGAAGAACGUUGGUGAGAGUGGAAAGCUCAUCAAGUGACGGUAACUACCCAGAAAGGGACGGCUAACUACGUGCCAGCAGCCGCGGUAAUACGUAGGUCCCGAGCGUUGUCCGGAUUUAUUGGGCGUAAAGCGAGCGCAGGUGGUUUAUUAAGUCUGGUGUAAAAGGCAGUGGCUCAACCAUUGUAUGCAUUGGAAACUGGUAGACUUGAGUGCAGGAGAGGAGAGUGGAAUUCCAUGUGUAGCGGUGAAAUGCGUAGAUAUAUGGAGGAACACCGGUGGCG
rnacentral:rRNA from 1 species